rnacentral:lncRNA from 1 species
AUGGAGUCAGCACAAGUUCUGUGCUCUGAAUGGCAGAGGCUGAGACCAAUGAAAAAGUGGAGCUGGGAUGGGGGUCAUAGUAGAGGGGAGGGGCUGAUAACCCAUCUUGACACCACCGCUCUUGGUGAGGACUCAGACAAACCAUCACCAGAGCAGGAUCUCAAGGGAAAUGGUCACCGAAAAAUGAUUGAUGCUGGCUCUGUGCACUGGGAAUUGUCCUUAAAUAAUAUGCUUUGUAGUUUACGUGAAUUACAGAACAAUGACUUAAUUAACCAUAAUUCACUCUUCUAGAAAAGACAACUCUUUGUGGAAGGCAAAUAACUUGUUAUUCGACAUGACACACGUCCUCCAGCUCUGGGAGGACAUAUUAAUCACAUAUGUCAGUCCAGUCUUUCAACACCAAGGGAGGAUUCAUAACCAUGAAUUUAAUUGACCAGUACUGCAAACAAAGAAGACUGAAAAUGUACCGUAAGCAAGAAAGAUAUCCAGCC